rnacentral:ribozyme from 1 species
UGUACGAGCGCCCCCUGCUCAACCACCGCCUCCGCACCCUCAUACUGAGCGGUAACAGGAUAGGAGACAGAGGUGUGACUGUCCUCACCUCCUCGCUGAUUGGCAACGUCGCUCUGCGCAAGCUGCAC